GAAAAGUGUUGGAAUUACAUAAAUUACAUACUUCAUACUUUAUGCAGUGUAAAAGGAUUCUUACUUACCCUAAAAAUUUAUAGAUACUUAUACCUGGGGAUUGGAAUUUAAAAUAGGAAGUCAAUUUUGACUAAUAUAAAUCUUUGAAGCAACGAGAAGGAUUUUGGAGCAUGAUUUCUUUGGUUUUCUCUUCGAAAAAUUAAAACGAUCUAACAACGUAGGAUACCAUUUUA
rnacentral:lncRNA from 1 species